GCCGCCUAUCAUUUUCAAAGAAAAGAAAAAAAAAAACAAAUUAGUGGACAGUUAAAAUUUUUUAUUUGCAUGCUGAUCAACUGUUUCACAUCGUCAGCCGAAGUGAUUGAUUGUUAACACACUCUUUUCAAAGGGCUUCUUAGUAAUUAACUCGGAUGAAUGAUGAAGUUCUUUAGUAAGAGUAGUGACAUCACCGCCGUCAAUGUGACGAGCGGCAUUAAAAAGCAGGCAGAAGGUGCUGCGUCAUCGACUUGCUACAAGCUGGUCGAUCUCAAAGGGGGUGGUCUCCUGAUUGAAUUAAUGAAGAAGGCUGUCAAGACAAAGGAUUUCACGGAAGUAGACAGGACUAUCGUCGAAAUGGUAGAGCCUUGUCUCUACAACAAAGGUGCAGGCAAAAUGGUUCACAUCGCUCAUCUGGUUUUACUCAGAAACAGGGACCGAGCCAAAACCAAAUUGCUGCCCUGUCUGAGAGAUGUCGAAGACCCUUACAAGUUUGACAUUGAAAAAUACGUGGCUGAAAACUUCGCCAACGACAAAGAUCCGACGCAUUAUCGCGAAGUGUGCUGGGAUUUGGAACAACGCGGUGGCGUCGGCGAAACUGUUAUGCAUCUGUGCUUGCUCUCGGCUACUUCGAUUCACGCAGACUUGGCCAAACGGCUUCUCAAGUUCUACCCGAAACUUAUCGUCGAUAUUUACCUCGACGAAGAGUAUUACGGCGAGAAUGUCCUCCACAUCGCCAUCGUUAACGAAGAUCCGGCCAUGGUCAAAUAUUUGCUGGAUCACGGGGUCAAUUACCAAGACCGUUGCUGUGGUAAUUUCAUGAGUCCAGAAGAUCAAAAAGCAAGUCGUUACGAUAGCCUAACUUCAGAGGUCGUCCUAAAUGAUUCAGUUACUAAUUACGACGGUUACGUUUACUGGGGCGAAUAUCCGCUGGCUUUCGCCGCUUGUCUCGGACAAGAGGAAUGCUAUCGAUUGGUGCUGGCCAAAGGCGCCGAUCCUAACGGUCAAGACACCAACGGCAACACUGUACUUCACAUGCUCGUGAUAUACGACAAAGCGGCGAUGUUUGACAUGGCUCACGAACUCGGUUCUUUGCUGAAUGUUCGCAACCGAUUGGGUCUCACUCCGCUCACUCUGGCGGCCAAAUUAGCUCGUCGUGACAUGUUUUUUCACAUCCUCAAAAUCCAAAAAGAAGUCUACUGGCAAUUGGGUAACGUAACAUGUAGUGCUUAUGCGCUUCCCCAGUUGGAUACGAUCGACAACGCUACAGGGGGCAUUGACAAGGAUUCAGUCCUCAACCUUGUUGUUUUCGGGGAUUCAGAAGCCCAUCUAGAACUGAUGGAUGAUGUCGUCAUUGACCUUCUUCACGCAAAGUGGAACACUUUCAUCAAAUUCCGGUUCUAUCGAUGCUUCUUCCUCUUUGCAUUGUACUUUGCAAUAUCCUUAAUUUGCUUCACGGUCCGCCCAAGUCCUCCCACCCGUUUGAGAGAAGAGAUAACCACAACGCCCAGUUACACGACCACUGACAUGACAUGGCCUUCUUCCUCUUUCCCAUCAUCGGAAAUGCCAAUGUCCAGUACUACUUAUUGGCCAAUGGAAAAUGACACUAUAGAUCCAUCUACUUACGAUGAUUGGAAUGGAACUGUCACGGAAACAACAAAGCCCCUUCGCACGGAUCCUACGACUCCCAUCACAAGUACUCGUCCUCGUACAACCAGCCACCCAGUGACGUCAUCAGUAUCUCCUAAAACUGGACACAAACACGCCCCUGUGGAUGCCUGCAUUUUACAACACUAUGACCCUACAAUCCAAGGAUACGCCAGGAUGGUUGGUGAAACCGGGGUCUUGAUCGGUGUGGUUUUAUACCUGGGUGCGGCGGCUCGAGAAGCCAGAUUUCUCGGCAGGAAGAUGUUCUUCGAGAAUUUGGCCACUGCCCCAUCGAGAGUCCUUUUUCUGAUCUCUUGCAUGCUCGUAAUUGCUAUGGUCUUCUUGCGCUGGUUCUGUUUGCGAGCUGAGGAAGAUAUCGUCGCCGUGCUGGUCAUGCUGUCCACCGCCCCGUAUUUCCUCUUCUUCUGCAGAGGGUUCAAGAAAGUCGGACCUUUCGUCGUCAUGAUUUAUCGCAUGAUUAUGGGAGACUUGUUGCGUUUCGUCACCAUUUACGUGGUGUUUGUUAUGGGCUUCUCUCAAGUUAGUCCAACCAAGCGAACAGUUGACUGGGAUCGGACAAACUUCAGGUCACCUGAACACUUUCUCCCUAGCCACCCUUCACCAAAAAAACAAAACAAAAUUGGCUGACAAGUCAGAUGCUUGAUUGCGAAAAAUUGAAGGUGAGCGCACGACCAGUCACCCCAUGUCACUUUAAAUUCAAGGCGGACAGUGUCUGACUUCGUUCUAUGGAAAAUGCAUAAUUACUGCUAUCGACCCAAAUGGCAAAAUUUUCUUUUCCGUAUUACAUCGUAUUCCUGACACACCCACCGAAUCGGGAACACGCUGAGAAUCCAAUGCCAAGCCCGGUCGACUCGGUGAUGAUGAUGUUCCUCAUGUCCCUCUAUAACUUUGGAG
rnacentral:misc_RNA from 1 species